AUUGAUCGCUUGCGCAUGCCUUUACAUGCAAGUCGAACCGGCAGCUCGGGAGCAAUUCCUGGUGGCGAGUGGCGAACGGGUGAGUAAUACAUCGGAUCGUGCCCAAUCGUGGGGGAUAACGCAGCGAAAGCUGUGCUAAUACCGCAUACGAUCUACGCAUGAAAGCAGGGGAUCGCAAGACCUUGCGCGAAUGGAGCGCACGAUGGCAGAUUAGGUCAUUUGGUGAAGAUAAAAGGCUCAUCAAGCCGUCGAUCUGUAGUCUGGUCUGAGAGGACGGCCAGCCACUCUGGCGACUGAGACACGGUCACAGACCCCUACGGGAGGCAGCAGUGGGGAAUUUUGGACAAUGGGCGAAAGCCUGAUCCAGCCAUGCGCGUGCAGGAUGAAGGCCUUCGGGUUGUAAACUGCUUUGUACGGAACGAAACGGCCUUUUCUAAUAAAGAGGUCUAAUGACGGUACCGUAAGAAUAAGCACCGGCUAACUACGUGCCAGCAGACGCGGUAAUACGUAGGGUGCAAGCGUUAAUCGGAAUUACUGGGCGUAAAGCGUGCGCAGGCGGUUAUGUAAGACAGUUGUGAAAUUCACGGGCUCAAGCUGGGAUCUGCAUCUGUGACUGCAUAGCUAGAGUACGGUAGAGGGGGAUGGAAUUUCGAAAGUAGCAGUGAAAUGCGUAGAUAUGCGGAGGAACCGCGAUGGCGUAGGCGAUGGUCUGCUCCUGCACUGACUCUCAGUCACGAAAGCGUGGGGAGCAAACAGG
rnacentral:rRNA from 1 species